rnacentral:rRNA from 1 species
AUUGAACGCUGGCGGCAUGCCUUACACAUUCAAGUCGAACGGCAGCAUUAUCUAGCUUGCUAGAUUGAUUGCGAGUGGCGAACGGGUGAGUAAUACAUCGGAACGUUCCCUGUAGUGGGGGAUAACUAGUCGAAAGAUUAUCUAAUACCGCAUACGACCUGAGGGUGAAAGUGGGGGACCGCAAGGCCUCAUUCCAUUUGAUCGGCCGAUGUCUGAUUAGCUAGUUGGUGAGGUAAAGGCUCACCAAGGCGACGAUCAGUAGCUGGUCUGAGAGGACGAUCAGCCACACUGGGACUGAGACACGGCCCAGACUCCUACGGGAGGCAGCAGUGGGGAAUUUUGGACAAUGGGCGAAAGCCUGAUCCAGCAAUGCCGCGUGUGUGAAGAAGGCCUUCGGGUUGUAAAGCACUUUUGUCCGGAAAGAAAUGGCUCUGGUUAAUACCUGGGGUCGAUGACGGUACCGGAAGAAUAAGGACCGGCUAACUACGUG